rnacentral:tRNA from 1 species
GCAGUGGUGGCUCAGCGGUAAAGUCUUGCCUUCCAUACAGGAGACCCGGGUUUGAUUCCCGGCCAAUCUA